rnacentral:sRNA from 1 species
GCCGGGCACAGUGGCACAUGCCUGUAAUCCCAGCGGCAUAGGAGGCUGAGGCAGGAGGAUCUUGAGUUCAGAGUCAGCCUCAGCAACUAAAUGAGGCCCUAAGCAACUCAGUGAAACCCUGUCUCUA